rnacentral:rRNA from 1 species
AUUGAACGCUGGCGGCAUGCUUUACACAUGCAAGUCGAACGGUAACAGGCCGCAAGGUGCUGACGAGUGGCGAACGGGUGAGUAAUGCAUCGGAACGUGCCCAGUCGUGGGGGAUAACUACUCGAAAGAGUAGCUAAUACCGCAUACGAUCUAUGGAUGAAAGCGGGGGACCGUAAGGCCUCGCGCGAUUGGAGCGGCCGAUGUCAGAUUAGGUAGUUGGUGGGGUAAAGGCUCACCAAGCCAACGAUCUGUAGCUGGUCUGAGAGGACGACCAGCCACACUGGGACUGAGACACGGCCCAGACUCCUACAGGAGGCAGCAGUGGGGAAUUUUGGACAAUGGGCGCAAGCCUGAUCCAGCAAUGCCGCGUGCAGGAAGAAGGCCUUCGGGUUGUAAACUGCUUUUGUACGGAACGAAACGGCUCUGGUUAAUACCCGGGGCUAAUGACGGUACCGUAAGAAUAAGCACCGGCUAACUACGUG